rnacentral:rRNA from 1 species
GAUGAACGCUGGCGGCGUGCCUAAUACAUGCAAGUCGAGCGAACAGACGAGGAGCUUGCUCCUCUGACGUUAGCGGCGGACGGGUGAGUAACACGUGGAUAACCUACCUAUAAGACUGGGAUAACUUCGGGAAACCGGAGCUAAUACCGGAUAAUAUAUUGAACCGCAUGGUUCAAUAGUGAAAGACGGUUUUGCUGUCACUUAUAGAUGGAUCCGCGCCGCAUUAGCUAGUUGGUAAGGUAACGGCUUACCAAGGCAACGAUGCGUAGCCGACCUGAGAGGGUGAUCGGCCACACUGCAACUGAGACACGGUCCAGACUCCUACGGGAGGCAGCAGUAGGGAAUCUUCCGCAAUGGGCGAAAGCUUGACGGAGCAACGCCGCGUGAGUGAUGAAGGUCUUCGGAUCGUAAAACUCUGUUAUUAGGGAAGAACAAAUGUGUAAGUAACUAUGCACGUCUUGACGGUACCUAAUCAGAAAGCCACGGCUAACUACGUG